GGCGGCCUUAGCGCGGUGGUCCCACCUGACCCCAUGCCGAACUCAGAAGUGAAACGCCGUAGCGCCGAUGGUAGUGUGGGGUCUCCCCAUGCGAGAGUAGGGAACUGCCAGGCA
rnacentral:rRNA from 2 species